ACCACUCCAGCUUCCCUACUCAUCAGAUCUACACACUGGUCUGAGUGACUAUGAGGGGAGGAAAAUUAAAAUUGAAAUCAACUUGGAUCCUUUCAUGACAUCCAUGUUUGUUUCAAACAAAC
rnacentral:snoRNA from 1 species